GGGGAAAGGAAUCAAUUUCUCAAUGUAAAUUGUGAUUUGCACACUUCCCCUCCUCACCUAUUUUGAAUUGAUUUGAUUCUAGUAGGACUAAGACAUGUGAAAAACACUGUUUUGCUUGAUUUAAUAAACACUUGGAAAAUGGCUUGUUGGAUAUGCCCUAAACCAAAAGGUAGCAAAUCAGAAAGAAUUCAUUUUUCUUUCCUUUGUCAAUGCCUUUCUUAGUGUUUAUCACUCUACUCUUAAAAUUAAGGUAAGAAGGAGUUCUCAGGACAAGAGGAAGUUAACAUCGCUACAUAUGGUAUAUAAUAACCUAUUUUCAUGAAGCACUCUUAAAGUUUAGUUUAUUAAAAUUGCAUGAUAAUGUUGAAAUUGAUAGAACUCAAGACCAAAAUUUAGAUAGGCCCAAAGACAGGAGUAAAGCAGGAUGGUAUUUGCAAAUAGUCUCUGUAUGAGAGCUACUGCACGAGUUUCCCAAGAAAGAAAGUAAUGAUUCAUGUGGUUUUAUUAAAGAAAUAACGAAAGAUAAUGGAGUGAACUUUUUGUCACAUACUUUGUGAUAGGUACUCUGGGUAAGCAUUUCACUUAUAUCGAAUCUAAUACUCCAAAGCAAUCAGUAUGUUUAUUCCAGGACAAGGAGUAUGAGACAAAUGGUUCUAUUAUCUUGAGCAACUUUCUGCUCAUCAAGAUUAGAACAUAGUCAAAAUCUCUCAGAUAACCAUCUGAUAAUCAUCCAUUGGAAGUCCUACUUUCUGUCUUCGCAGAAAUAGAUUUGUCAGUGAUUCUGCAUCACUAUAACUCUUAGAUACAUCUUCCUCCCUUAGGCUAACCCCACAUGCAGUGGAAGAUAUUCACAGGAGGAACAAGUCUGAAUGCUGACCAGAAAAUUUGCCAUACUGGAAGUUUCCGAGAUUGAAGAAGAAGGGAGAGAGGACUACAGGCAUCGCAGCCUUUCUCUCCAGCCAUCCAGCCUACUGACCAUCAAUUAUUCUAUGCCUUCAGGCCGACUCACCUGUUGAACUCAGCUUAAAAGGUAUCCCCCAUUGAAAUGCAUCAAAACUCUACUUAAAGUAUGUCUUCUGCAUUUAACAUUUUCUCUAUUUAAUUAUACUACCUUUCAUUUAAAGAUAUAUUCUGUGCCUUGCAUUUUGAAAUACUAAGUUGUUAUUUACUAUUUCA
rnacentral:lncRNA from 1 species